GACAGAGGAUGCAAGCGUUAUCCGGAAUGAUUGGGCGUAAAGCGUCUGUAGGUGGCUUUUUAAGUCCGCCGUCAAAUCCCAGGGCUCAACCCUGGACAGGCGGUGGAAACUACCAAGCUGGAGUACGGUAGGGGCAGAGGGAAUUUCCGGUGGAGCGGUGAAAUGCGUAGAGAUCGGAAAGAACACCCGUGGCGAAGGCGGCUCUCUGGGACGGUACUGACGCUGAGACGCGAAAGCGUGGGGAGCAAACAGG
rnacentral:rRNA from 1 species